GCGCCCUUAGCUCAGCUGGAUAGAGCAUGGCACUUCUAAUGCCAGGGUCGGGAGUUCGAAUCUCUCAGGGCGUG
rnacentral:tRNA from 1 species